rnacentral:lncRNA from 1 species
GUUGUGCUUUGCCUGAAUGAAGGGAUAAUAUGUCUUUCAAUAUUUUCAUUAAAAUUUUGAAAUGUUUAUAUACUUUGUAUGUGUACCAUUUUAAAUUAUAUUUGCAAGUUCUAAGCAAUAAUACGCAUGCUAUACAGGGUCGGCCUACUUUGUCAUGACUAUUUAAUACUAAUUUUAAGAAUGAUGGAAGUCACAUUAUAUAAACUACAUCCCCAUGAACACCUUUGGAUUUUCUUGUGCUAGAACACUACUAUAAUGCAGUGCAAAGCUUUGCAUUUUGUGAACAAAAAUAAAAUCAAUUAUUUAGUGCAAAAGUUUGUCUGCAAGG